rnacentral:rRNA from 1 species
CACGCCGUAAACGAUGGGUACUAGGUGUAGGGGGUAUCGACUCCCCCUGUGCCGCCGUUAACACAAUAAGUACCCCGCCUGGGGAGUACGGUCGCAAGAUUAAAACUCAAAGGAAUUGACGGGGGCCCGCCACAAGCAGCGGAGCAUGUGGUUUAAUUCGAAGCAACGCGAAGAACCUUACCUAGACUUGACAUCUCCUGAAUUACUCUUAAUCGAGGAAGUUCUCCCUUCGGGGAGGACAGGAAGACAGGUGGUGCAUGGUUGUCGUCAGCUCGUGUCGUGAGAUGUUGGGUUAAGUCCCGCAACGAGCGCAACCCUUAUUGUUAGUUGCUACCAUUUAGUUGAGCACUCUAGCAAGACUGCCGUGGUUAACGCG